CUGGCAACAUGAUGAAUAAAACCAAAUCACCAUCUUUCGACUGAACGCAUGAUGAUUUGUUUUACCUGAGAAGGCCAGUUGUGCUUGAUCAG
ensembl:snoRNA small nucleolar RNA, C/D box 51